AACCUGCUAAGUGGUAACUUCCAAAUUCAGAGAAACCCUGGAACUAAAAAAGGGCAAUCCUGAGCCAAAUCUUUGUUUCGAGAGAAAAAACUAUGGAAAAGGAGAAUAAAAAGGGGAUAGGUGCAGAGACUCAAUGGAAGCUGUUCUAACGAAUGAAAUUGAUUACGUUACGUUAGUAGCUAAAAGACUUCUAUCGAAAUGACAGAAAAGAUACGUCUUAUAUACCUAAGACGUACGUAUACAUACUGACAUAGCAAACGAUUAAUCACAACCCAAAUCUUAUAUCGAAUAUCGAAUUCUAUUUUGUAUCUCUAUAUAUUUAGAUAUGAAAUUUGAAAUUUCUAUAUGAAAAUAGAAAUCUUCUCUUUCUUUCUAAUAAUAUUAUAUUAUUAAUAUGAGUAAUCUAAAAUAUGAGUAAUAUAAUAGUAUGAGAUAAGGAUCUAUAAGAAACCCUAUAUUUCUAUUCUUUUUUAAUUAGAAUGAUAGAGAUCAAAAAGAUAGAUGAAAAAUUGAAGAGUUAUUGUGAAUCAAUUCCAAUUGAAGUUGAAAAAAGAAUAGAAUUCGAAUAUUCAAUGAUCAAAUUCUUCAUUCCAGAAUUUUUGAUAGAUCUUUUGAAAUUGAAUCGGACGAGAAUAAAGAGAGAGUCCCAUUUUACAUGUCAAUACCGACAACAAUGAAAUUUAUAGUAAGAGGAAAAUCCGUCGAAUUUUUCAAUCGUGAGGGUUCAAGUCCCUCUAUCCCCAAUAAAAAGCCCAUUUUACUUCCUCGCUCUUUAUUUAUCCUCAUCCUCUUUAUUCAUUUUUUUUCAUCAGUGACUCAGUUUAAACAAAAUGAAAUAUCUUUUUCAUUUUAUUCACUCUGUUCUUUCACAAAUAGAUCCAAAUCUAAAUCCUCGUAUCUUUUUCCAAUCCAAUCUCAUUUGUUUUGGAUAAUACGAUAUGAAGAUAUAUGUUCAAGGAAUCUCCGUUAUUGAAUCAUUCAUAGUCUAUAUCUUUUUCCUUACAUUUACAAAAAAAGUCUUCUUUUUGAAGAUCCAAGAAUUUCAGGGGCUAGAGCGGCUAGAGCCAAUUUGUUAAGAUUUUCUUUUUUCGUUCUUUUCAUUGACAUAGAUAAAAGUACUCUGCUAGGAUGAUGCACGGGAAAUGGUCGGGAUA
rnacentral:misc_RNA from 1 species